UAUCUUUGUUACAUGGAUGGGCUAACCACUGCCGUGUUCCGGAGAUAAAUGGAUUUGUAUCCAAGGCGUCAGAUCGCAUUUGCUGCUAUUCCGCAACUCCCUGUUGUGUGUACUCAGUGCUGCAAUAAGUAGCAUAAAAUGAUUCAGUUUACAGGCUAAUGCAGUGCGUAUAUCCUCAAACGAUUGAUGUGAAGAGAAUCCUCAAAUGAUUGGAUAAGUUGCAGUAUACAAGUGCAAAUCUACCAAAGGAAAAGGUGCUUUCCAGGAUUCGGAAUUAUCUACAACUUGUUGGGAGAAAGGUAGACGAGAUUGUUCAGCAACACGAAUUUAGGAUGAUAACAAGACUAUGGAACUAUGAUUCCACCUUUUCAAACCUAUCUGGGGCUUCAGCAGAUAUUUUCUAAACUUAAAGAGGAGCAGCAGUCUGAGGCAGGUCCAUCCUACCUAAAUGGAUCUGCACCAGAUCACUACCCAAACGAUAGAGAUAAUAGUUCCAUGCAGUAUCGUUCGUAUGGCCAGAAUAUUCCAAACCCAAAAGGGUUCUAAAAGCAUCUGCCUCACCGCACUUCAUAAUCAUUUCAUCGAGACCAGUAAAGUGCGAAGUCAGAAGAGAAACUGGGAGGUCAAGGGGCUUUGGAUUUUUCAGCUACAGCUAUGAAGAAAAUGCUAGUCAAGCUCUUACGAUGGACGGUCAGGAUCUAGGUGGAAGACAAAUCCGUGUAAGCUAUGCUAAUGAGAGACCUCCCGGGAACUUUUGUGGCGGUGGCUAUAAUAAUGGUGGUGGUGGCUAUGGGAACAAUGGUGGCGGUGGUUAUGGAGGUGGCGGAAGAGAUGACGGUUUCUAAACCUGUGUUCCUUUUGGCUCUGCAUGGUUGGUAUUCUUCUUUAGCAGUAAUUUGAGUGAAAAGUAGACUUAAAAUACAUCAGUCACAUUCUUAAAUUCUACAAUCUCUCUUUUGUAGUGGGUUGGGUGUUGUUUAGACUAUUUGUUGAUUACAUUUCAUGUUAUUUAAUAAUAUUCGACAUACGUGUGUGAUUCUUAUUUGACUCUCCCCAGUUAGUUAUACACUUACGUUUUGGUUAGUCAUUGAAAAUAGAAAUCUUUGAAUUUUAUCUUGUACGUGGGACUGUAACUCCUUCUUGGUUGGAAGACCAUAUAUAAGACCAUGAUGUGUUGACCAACGUAAGGCAUGAUGACACCUUUAUGAACACAGGAACAAAAUCACAACUUAGCAUGUGAUCUCUGAACUUCGUAAAGGUUGUCCAAUAAAUACAUAACACCUUUAUGUCUAUAUGGACAUAAAUUGUGCACUAUGCACUCAUAAUUGAUAGUUUACUGAACCAUCUAUGAUUUACAUGUAUGGUAUAGCUAAAUAUCUUUGUUACAUGGAUGGGUUAACCACUGCCGUGUUCCGGAGAUAAAUGGAUUUGUAUCCAAGGCGUCAGAUCGCAUUUGCUGCUAUUCCGCAACUCCCUGUUGUGUGUACUCAGUGCUGCAAUAAGUAGCAUAAAAUGAUUCAGUUUACAGGCUAAUGCAGUGCGUAUAUCCUCAAACGAUUGAUGUGGAGAGAAUCCUCAAAUGAUUGGAUAAGUUGCAGUAUACAAGUGCAAAUCUACCAAAGGAAAAGGUAUAUUGAAGGUGCUUUCCAGGAUUCGGAAUUAUCUACAACUUGUUGGGAGAAAGGUAGACGAGAUUGUUCAGCAACACGAAUUUAGGAUGAUAACAAGACUAUGGAACUAUGAUUCCACCUUUUCAAACCUAUCUGGGGCUUCAGCAGAUAUUUUCUAAACUUAAAGAGGAGCAGCAGUCUGAGGCAGGUCCAUCCUACCUAAAUGGAUCUGCACCAGAUCACUACCCAAACGAUAGAGAUAAUAUUUCCAUGCAGUAUCGUUUGUAUGGCCAGAAUAUUCCAAACCCAAAAGGGUUCUAAAAGCAUCUGCCUCACCGCGCUUCAUAAUCAUUUCAUCGAGACCAGGAAAGUGCGAAGUCAGAAGAGGAGAACAAGAAGUUGAAGGGGAAGAACAAAUGGCUGCAUCCUUCAGCGUAACCGAUGGUGAACCCUUGAGCUUAGUGCUGCUAGUCACUAGCCUAUCCCUGAUUAUGCAUUGGUGGCAAAUAGAUGUUUGAAAGGAGUGGGGUAAGUUCUCUCGUAGGGAUGUAAUUUGUUGCUAGAACAGAGUAGUGUCUGAUUGAUUUGUUUCCAUUAAUUAUAAUUAUAUCAUUAUAUAUCAUCGUGCCAACUAUAAAUAUAGAUAAUCUUGAUUUGAGAUGGAUCACAUGAGUUAUUUGCAUUUUCAGUCAAGUUUGAGCAGCAGUGUACUAAUGUUUGUCUUUUUGAAAUUAACACGGUGACAUUCUUUGAUUGGUGGAGAUAUAACAGACAGAACAAUGGAUUUGGUGCAGCUGAAAACGCUACAUUCCUGUAGUUUUGGUUAUAAAACUUAGCAGUCCAUAAAAAAGUGAUCACUCAAAAAUUAUAAUGCAAAGCAUGUUAUAUGGAAUGAACCAGAAAGGGACAAGAGGAGUAGCCAUUGUUGAAGAAUAACUACAACUACAUCAGUCAAAGCUUGGUGCAAGACAAGCUAUAUAGAGUCAUGGUGGUUAGCUGCAGAGUGGAAAUUCACACCAUUAUCCAAUUUCACAAGUCUUUUGGGUACCUAUGUUUUGUUUUAGUUCUCUCAUAUUACUUGGUAUAGUUGGCACAGUCUUGUGGCUUAAAUGCUAAACUGGGUAUGAGUCUAUGAGAUAGAUUGUUGAAGUUUUUGGUUGUUAGGUUUGUCAAAGAGACUCAGAUUUAACAUUGUUCUAGGUAUUGAAAUUUUCACAUUUUAAACUUGGGUGAUUUUAAGUGGUUAAAUUGUACAUUGAAUCUAUCUUUCAAUAUAAAUUUUUAUUUGGUUUCCUUUUUAA